CGCAUCUGUGCAUGCAGCAUAUCAAUAAGCGGAGGAAAAGAAACUAACAAGGAUUCCCCUAGUAACGGCGAGUGAAGCGGGAAGAGCUCAAAUUUGAAAUCUUAAAGGGUUUCCCUUUACGAAUUGUAGUUUAAAGAAGUGUUUUCUGUUGAGGUUUUGGUAAAAGUUCUUUGGAAUAGGACAUCAUAGAGGGUGAGAAUCCCGUAUUUGACCUUUACUUUCAACUUUGUGAUACACUUUCAAAGAGUCGGAUUGUUUGGGAAUGCAGUCCAAAAUGGGUGGUAAAUUUCAUCUAAAGCUAAAUAUUGGCGAGAGACCGAUAGCGAACAAGUACCGUGAGGGAAAGAUGAAAAGAACUUUGAAAAGAGAGUUAAACAGUACGUGAAAUUGUCAAAAGGGAAGCGUUUGACACCAGUGUUGUUUUUCUGAAAAUCAAUUAAAGAACUGUUUAUGCUAAGUUGUUUAGACCUUAUCAGCUAACUGUUUAGUUUUGAGCUUUUCUUUAAUGCACUUUUCAGUUAACAAGUCAACAUCAAUUUCUUUUGCUGUAAAAAAGCUUGAGGAAGGUGGCUUGAGAUUCGUCUUAAGUGUUUAUAGCCUCUUGCCUAUGCAGUCGGAGAGAUUGAGGUCUGCAGCGUAGAUCCUUCGGGGCUAAAUGCAUUUGUGCCUAAGUUAUAGCAUUUUAUAUGACAACUUGUUGACUAUGAUUUGUCUUGUAGCUUACUCGCUUAUGUUAUUUUACCUACGCUUAGGAUGUUGACGAGACUGUCGAUCUC
rnacentral:rRNA from 1 species